AUUGAACGCUGGCGGCAUGCCUUACACAUGCAAGUCGAACGGUAACGGGCCUUCGGGUGCCGACGAGUGGCGAACGGGUGUGUAAUACAUCGGAACGUGCCCGAUCGUGGGGGAUAACGAGGCGAAAGCUUUGCUAAUACCGCAUACGAUCUACGGAUGAAAGCAGGAGACCGCAAGGCCUUGCGCGGACGGAGCGGCCGAUGGCAGAUUAGGUAGUUGGUGGGGUAAAAGCUUACCAAGCCGACGAUCUGUAGCUGGGCUGAGAGGGUGAUCAGCCACAGUGGGACGGAGUGACGGCCCAGACGGGCACGGGAGGCCGCAGUGGGGAGUAUGGGACAAUGGGCGGAAGCAUGAUGCAGCGACGCCGCGAGGAGGAUGACGGCGUUCGGGUAGUAAACGGCGUUCGACCGCGAGGAAGCCACCUGGUUGGAAGGGUGGGGAAGGGAGUGGUAGAAGAAGAACCGGAGAACGACGGG
rnacentral:rRNA from 1 species